GAACAUCAUUAUGUUGAUAAAUAUAUGCCCAAAUACUUAUUUCUAUAGUGAGAAUAUUGUUUUGGAAAUAUUUUACUGGUUAGCAAUUCAUAUUUUCUUUCUUCUGUGGUAUUUCCACCAUUAAAGCUAGGCAAUGAGGAUGACGAACCCAGAGAAAGAAAGAACAAUAUUUUUUAAAAGGUAAAUAACAAAAAUAAAAAUAUGAUAGAACUAGAGACCUGGUUGCAUAGGAAAGGGAAGAAAAGAGCUUCCCCUGGUAAGAAGGGAAAAUAAGGAAAGAGGUAAAGGAGCAAGAAGGCAAAUGUGAUUAAAUUCCUUUUGGCAUGAAGGGGGAGAAAAAAAUCUAGAUUGUUCUGAGGAAGUCUGAGUGUUCUACGGGUAUAUGGCAUGGAGAAGAGUAUUAUUAACAUCAUAAUUUACAUUUGUGUUAAGUAUAUUGAUUGUAACCUUGUUGCACUUCUACAAGGGAUAUAAUAUAGAAAAAAAUGUAGCGAAAAGUUGUAUGCUAACAGCUUAUUUAGAUAUUGGCAAUCAUUUCUUUGUUUUUUUACAUACAAAAUCAAAUAUAAAAGUAUAUAUAUGAUUAUCUAAGUAUUAUAUAUAUAAGUAAGUAUUAUAUAUCAUAUAUAUACUUAUAUAUUUGAUUUUUAUGUAUAUACGCAUACAUAUAUUUUUCCAAAAAGUAUAUAUACAAACAAAUGAGAUAUGACAUAAAAUAACACAACUGAAAAUUUUCACUUAAUAAUAUGAUCAUUGGGUUUUUAUUCUUUGUUACCUAAGUACUUAUGAAAUACUUGUCAUUUUUCAAAGAUGCACCAUGAAUUUAAAGA
rnacentral:lncRNA from 1 species